rnacentral:piRNA from 1 species
UAAAGAUGUGGCUGGGCUCUGUGGCUC